CGAAUUUCUUGACAAGAAUUUUUCCAUUGCCAGAUGAGGCUACGUUCAGCAAAGUGAAAAGAAAGACAGUAGAAACAGUGAAUGGCAGACAACUGACCCGAAGAGAGAACCUGCUGCCCUUGAAAACACUGGUCCAGAUGUUGAUUUCGAGGUGUAUUGACAAUCCCAACGACCCAUACCUUGAGCUGGACCACACAUGCUGGCCUCUGUAUGUAGAACUCCUGCUGGCAUGUGGAGUCACCUUGCUGCAUCCUGUUGACUCUAACAGACUCAAAUUAAUGCCCUUUCACCUCUAGUGUUUACUGGACAGUGGAACAUUGAUGUCCUUUCAUCACUACUGUUUUACUGGACAGUGUAACAUUGAUGCCCUUUCAUCACUAGUGUUUACUGGACAGUGUAACAUUGAUGCCCUUUUAUCACUAGUGUUUUACUGGACAGUGAAAUAUUGAUGCCCUUUCAUCACUAGUGCUUUUACUGGACAGUGAAAUAUUGAUGCCCUUUCAUCACUAGUGUUUUACUGGACAGUGAAAUAUCGAUGCCCUUUCAUCACUAGUGUUUUACUGGACAGUGAAAUAUUGAU